UACGUAGGGUGCAAGCGUUAAUCGGAAUUACUGGGCGUAAAGCGUGCGCAGGCGGCUUUGCAAGACGGAUGUGAAAUCCCCGGGCUUAACCUGGGAACUGCAUUUGUGACUGCAAGGCUAGAGUACGGUAGAGGGGGAUGGAAUUCCGCGUGUAGCAGUGAAAUGCGUAGAUAUGCGGAGGAACACCGAUGGCGAAGGCAAUCCCCUGGACCUGUACUGACGCUCAUGCACGAAAGCGUGGGGAGCAAACAGG
rnacentral:rRNA from 1 species